CUGGAAUGGUGAGGGAAAGAGCAAAUACAGAAACUGCCUAGGGGGUGAUUCAGGAACACAGAAAAAAACGAUCGGAGUCUAAGGUGGUGGCAAUGAAGAUGAAACUUAAAAAGCGGGCAGACCCCAGAGCUGUGCCGAACUGGAGAGACCCUCGAUGAGAGAAUCGAGUCUUCCUUAUCUGUGUAGAUGCUUCCAUUUUAGGCCCAAUGACUCCAUAAAGCACUUGCUAUUUACAUGUCUUUCUCUCACUCUUGGACUACAGCUACUGGAGGGCAAGAGUCCUGUCCUUGAAGUCUGUAUCCUCCGUCGUUAGCACAGCGUGUGGAACGAAGGGAGACUGGUGAAUCCAGGUGAAUACAAAUGAAGGAAGACCUGCUUCACCGGAAGAGCAACACGCAAAGCAUCGACACAUCGGCGACAGUUGGGCAAAGAUUUUACAGGAAGCGUGACAUUGGCAUCUGCCUGGUUUCUAGGGAGGCCUCAGGAAGCUUGCAAUCAUGGCGGAAGAUGAAGCGGGAGCAGGCGUGUUACAUGAUGAAAGCAGAAGCAAGUGAGAGACUGGGAGGGAGGCACCACACACUUUUAAAUGACCAGAUCUGGUGAGAAGGCACUCACUGUCGUGAAGACAGCACCAAGCCAUGAGGGAUCUGCCCCAUGAUCCAAACACCUCCCACCAAGCCCUACCUCCAGCACUGGGGAUCACAAUUCAACAUGAGAUUUGGGUGGGGACAAAUAUCCAAACUAUAUCAGAAGGGCUGUGCUAUCUUGGGAAAGCUACCAUCCAGAUUUCUUAGCUUUUCUUAAUGUCCAGGAAAACCAAACUGGCAGAAUCUAGUGAGAGAGACGUGUAUAAUUGGCUGCACUGGGCACUUUCUUUAUUCAUGUGCUGUUUUGGGGGAAGUCAGCUAUAAAGAAGAAGCACAGAACUUAAUGAAAAUAAAGGCAUCCAUGCU
rnacentral:lncRNA from 10 species